rnacentral:rRNA from 1 species
CCUACGGGGGGCAGCAGUCGAGAAUUAUUCACAAUGGGGGAAACCCUGAUGGUGCGACGCCGCGUGGGGGAAUGAAGGUCUUCGGAUUGUAAACCCCUGUCAUGUGGGAGCAAAUUAAAAAGAUAGUACCACAAGAGGAAGAGACGGCUAACUCUGUGUCAGCAGCCGCGGUAAUACAGAGGUCUCAAGCGUUGUUCGGAAUCACUGGGCGUAAGGCGUGCGUAGGCUGUUUCGUAAGUCGUGUGUGAAAGGCGCGGGCUCAACCCGCGGACGGCACAUGAUACUGCGAGACUAGAGUAAUGGAGGGGGAACCGGAAUUCUCGGUGUAGCAGUGAAAUGCGUAGAUAUCGAGAGGAACACUCGUGGCGAAGGCGGGUUCCUGGACAUUAACUGACGCUGAGGCACGAAGGCCAGGGGAGCGAAAGGGAUUAGAUACCCUGGUAGUC